rnacentral:rRNA from 1 species
GGCGAGUGAAGCGGCAACAGCUCAAAUUUGAAAUCUGGCCCCUAGGGUCCGAGUUGUAAUUUGCAGAGGAUGCUUUUGACAAGGUGCCUUCCGAGUUCCCUGGAACGGGACGCCAUAGAGGGUGAGAGCCCCGUCUGGUCGGAUACCGCGUCUCUGUAAAGCUCCUUCGACGAGUCGAGUAGUUUGGGAAUGCUGCUCAAAAUGGGAGGUAUAUGUCUUCUAAAGCUAAAUAUUGGCCAGAGACCGAUAGCGCACAAGUAGAGUGAUCGAAAGAUGAAAAGCACUUUGAAAAGAGGGUUAAAAAGUACGUGAAAUUGUUGAAAGGGAAGCGCCUAUGACCAGACUUGGGCCCGGUGAAUCAUCCAGCGUUCUCGCUGGUGCACUUUGCCGGGCACAGGCCAGCAUCAGUUUGGCUUGGGGGAAAAAGGCUUUGGGAAUGUAGCUCCUCGGAGUGUUAUAGACCUUUGCAUAAUACCCUGGGCCGGACUGAGGUUCGCGCAUCUGCAAGGAUGCUGGCGUAAUGGUCAUCAGCGA